UGGGGAAUAUUGGACAAUGGGCGAAAGCCUGAUCCAGCAACGCCGCGUGAGGGAUGACGGCCUUCGGGUUGUAAACCUCUUUCAGCAGGGACGAAGCGAAAGUGACGGUACCUGCAGAAGAAGCACCGGCCAACUACGUGCCAGCAGCCGCGGUAAUACGUAGGGUGCGAGCGUUGUCCGGAAUUAUUGGGCGUAAAGGGCUCGUAGGCGGUUUGUCGCGUCGGGAGUGAAAACUCAGGGCUUAACCCUGAGCCUGCUUCCGAUACGGGCAGACUAGAGGUAUGCAGGGGAGAACGGAAUUCCUGGUGUAGCGGUGAAAUGCGCAGAUAUCAGGAGGAACACCGGUGGCGAAGGCGGUUCUCUGGGCAUUACCUGACGCUGAGGAGCGAAAGUGUGGGGAGCGAACAGGAUUAGAUACCCUGGUAGUCCACACCGUAAACGUUGGGCGCUAGGUGUGGGACUCAUUCCACGAGUUCCGUGCCGCAGCUAACGCAUUAAGCGCCCCGCCUGGGGAGUACGGCCGCAAGGCUAA
rnacentral:rRNA from 1 species